rnacentral:misc_RNA from 1 species
AAAUGGUGAAAAAGGAUCCAUAUAAAAAACCCCAAUUAGUUUAGGAAUUAGGCUUAGUUGUCGUUGUUGUCGUUGGAUAUUGUGAAUCUUCUAGGAGCCUAUGUUGUAUUACAUUUAAAUAGAUUUUUCACAAAAGUAUAGUUGCGUAAAAUAUAACUCUAAUUUAGGGUAUUUGAUGUAAUAGUAUUUUUUCUGACCCAUCAUUAACAGGUUUUUUUUAUUUUAUUAUUUAUUAUAAUUUGGAGUGUCUAGAAUGAGAAACAAAAGCCUGUACAAAAGCUCAUACUGGCAUAAUAACUCUUAAUCGGGUAAUGACUUGAUCAGUAAAAUUACAGUGGGGUUGCAGUUUAAGUGAAUGAUUUUACUCAACCCUCUUCCAUCUAUUCCCUCUCCUCUGUCCUCCCUAAAUUUCAUAUAUAUGUAUACCUUUCAUUACCUAAAGCACACAAUGAAACAGGUAAAGCAGGUAAACAAUGCUAAAUAGGAAAGAUUAUGAUAAUUCCAUCUAUAAUCAAUUAAUUUCCAAGAAUUAAAUAGGGGAUUACCUCAUCAGUUCUUGCCUAUAAGCAAAUUCUUUCUCAAAACCAGAGAAAUGUCUAUAUAUACUUACUGGGAAAG